AAGAUCGCCUCUCGACGUUAUUUCAUUAAUACUACCGUGUUCCCCAAUGUUAUUGAGUGUGUUACGCGUUGGUCCCGUUUAAAAAAACGCUGUGGUUAUUUUGUUUCAAGCUGGUGUUUAGGGCCGGAAAAAUGGCUUGUUCAGAAACGACAGGGUUUUCCGGCUUUCAGGGCUUACCCUCAUGAAUAUGCGUGACGCGAUAAGUAGGUGUCUCUGAUUGGCUCCCUCUCAUGAAUAUGCGUGACGUGAUAAUGAGGUCUCUCUGAUUGGCUCCCUCCCAUGAAUGAAUGAACCCGCCUCCCCCGCUCGCGCUAUGUACAACUUUGGGGAGCUACAAGCUGUUAGCUAGCUUAGCCUACCGGUACUUGGGUCCGUCUGCUGGAAAACAUUGUUUUUGGAACUAAAAUCUCAACAUGUCUUCAGAGAUACAGCCGUAUAUAUAUGAUCCAGAGUCAGAGGACGAUGGAGAGGUGGAGGAGGAACCGAUUCCUCAUCGUUUGACUAUGAACGUUUCGGAAUGGUGUUCAUGCGACAAUUGUGAAAGAAUGCCACUGGAGGAAGAGAACGUUUGCUGCCGUGAGAUUCCCCAGGUAAUGACAAGACUGAC